UACGUAGGUGGCGAGCGUUGUCCGGAAUUACUGGGUGUAAAGGGAGCGUAGGCGGGAUAUUAAGUUGAAUGUAUAAACUACCGGCUCAACUGGUAGAAGCGUUCAAAACUGAUAUUCUUGAGUGAAGUAGAGGCAGGCGGAAUUCCUAGUGUAGCGGUGAAAUGCGUAGAUAUUAGGAGGAACACCAGUGGCGAAGGCGGCCUGCUGGGCUUUAACUGACGCUGAGGCUCGAAAGCGUGGGUAGCAAACAG
rnacentral:rRNA from 1 species